GACGUAGGGCGCGAGCGUUGUCCGGAUUUAUUGGGCGUAAAGAGCUCGUAGGCGGCUUGUCGCGUCGAAUGUGAAAUCCUGCGGCUCAACUGCAGGCUUGCAUUCGAUACGGGCAGGCUCGAGUUCGGUAGGGGAGACUGGAAUUCCUGGUGUAGCGGUGAAAUGCGCAGAUAUCAGGAGGAACACCGGUGGCGAAGGCGAGUCUCUGGGCCGAUACUGACGCUGAGGAGCGAAAGCGUGGGGAGCGAACAGG
rnacentral:rRNA from 1 species